rnacentral:lncRNA from 1 species
GUUCCCUACUUACAAGAGUAUUCUGCUUGCUCAUAUUCUGUAGGUUCAUUUGAAGUUACGCUUAAGUUAAGCUCUGCUUAAACUCAGCCUAAGGCUUUCUUUUCAGGCAUAGUUGGUUCAGUUUGUGAAUGGUUUGUGUUAUUGAUUGGGCUUUCAUUCUUGUAUUUGAAAACAAAAAGAGAGACAUUACCUUAUAAAUUUCUGGCUAAAUGUGUCUUUAGAAAAAUUGAUAAAAUCCUGUUUGGACUUUCUGGUGAUCAAAGACACUCUGAUAAAUAUUUCUGUUUGCUCUGCCUUCUUCUCUCAGAUAGCUGCCCUCCCACAGUAUAAUUUUGUUCCAGCAUCCAUUUGCAUUCUCAGCACAAAUACUGUGUGGAGGGACACAUACAUCUAUUUUUUUUUCCCCCCUGUGUUUUCAUAGGAAUGGUCUGGUUGACUGGCCAGACUUCGUGUUAUUCUCUGCCUGCUGUUAAAACUAGUGAUUGCACCAGUGUGGUUUGUCUUAUCUGUGGGCUUUGUCUCUCUGUAGAGAAAAGAUGUCUCCUAACAAAGUCUGCCUUGGAAGAUAUAAAUGAGAUGCUCCUUCUCAAGUCAAUGCAAUGGAUAUGUUUAUACUGAUUUUUUUAAUUCCUCGAGAGGUCUGGAACAGGCCAAUAAUUUCAUUUCCACUGAAAUGUUUUUAACAUCUUCAGAAAAGUGGCUGCCUUCAGAGUCUGACUGGGUUUCAAAUGGUGCUCAUUUUAAUAAUGAAGAAGAUCUAGAACCUGUGCCAAUUUCUAUGGACUGAACUUGCAAAUGUCUGCUGUGGAGUUCAUUCUGUAUUUUGAUACCAUACUGUGCUAUUGUGAAAUACUUUACUUAGAUACAAAAGAUUUGAUAGAUAGCUCUUUCUGUUGAUAUUGCAGUAUGCUUCCUAUUUGUCUCAACAAAUAAGGUACUUCUGUGCAACUCACCAAGUUUCUACCACGUAAAAAAAGGAAGAAUGCUGUUCAUAUUAUUGUAGCUAAGCUUCUCAAGCAUGUUUUCUGUUUUGACAAAUUUGGAUUCCUGACAAUGAGGUGUCUUUAUUACAGAGCAAAAUGGGAAGCUCAUAAAGUUGUCAUGUCUUUUACUGGUUUAUUAGGAAAGAAUUACAUUUCUCAUACCUGGAAUACAGAUACACAAGAAAAUGGAAUCUUUGUAAAUCCUGCAUCCUACAGAGCUGGUUACUGCAAGGUGAGCAAUUACUUGCCUUUCCAAGCAUUACUAGGCAUAUCUAAAUAGAUAGUAUUCUCUACAUAGCGAUCAGAAACAAAUUUAAGGAGAGAUUUUCAGGUAUUGCCUAUGUUUGAGACAAUUAUUUGUGAUAGUGCUUUAUGUGAUUUACUUGUCUAGGCACAACACAACUGAGGAAAGAACUUUAAAAAACACAUAAAAAUACAUCAUAUGUAAUAAUUUUCAUCAGAACAUGAAGAAGUCUUCACUGCCAUAAAAGUACUAAAAAUUCUUCCUGG